rnacentral:rRNA from 1 species
UACGGGGGGGGCAAGCGUUGUUCGGAAUUACUGGGCGUAAAGGGCUUGUAGGUGGCCAACUAAGUCAGACGUGAAAUCCCUCGGCUUAACCGGGGAACUGCGUCUGAUACUGGAUGGCUAGAGUGUGGGAGAGGGAUGCGGAAUUCCAGGUGUAGCGGUGAAAUGCGUAGAUAUCUGGAGGAACACCGGUGGCGAAGGCGGCAUCCUGGACCACGACUGACACUGAGGAGCGAAAGCCAGGGGAGCAAACGGG